UACGUAGGGACCAAGCGUUGUUCGGAUUUACUGGGCGUAAAGGGCGCGUAGGCGGCGUGUUAAGUCACUUGUGAAAUCUCUGAGCUUAACUCAGAACGGUCAAGUGAUACUGAUGUGCUAGAGUGCAGAAGGGGCAACCGGAAUUCUUGGUGUAGCGGUGAAAUGCGUAGAUAUCUGGAGGAACACCGGUGGCGAAGGCGACAUCCUGGACCGGUAUUGACGCUGAGGCGCGAAAGCCAGGGGAGCAAACGGG
rnacentral:rRNA from 1 species